rnacentral:rRNA from 1 species
GUGCCUAUACAUGCAAGUCGAGCGAACAGACGAGGAGCUUGCUCCUCUGACGUUAGCGGCGGACGGGUGAGUAACACGUGGAUAACCUACCUAUAAGACUGGGAUAACUUCGGGAAACCGGAGCUAAUACCGGAUAAUAUAUUGAACCGCAUGGUUCAAUAGUGAAAGACGGUUUUGCUGUCACUUAUAGAUGGAUCCGCGCCGCAUUAGCUAGUUGGUAAGGUAACGGCUUACCAAGGCAACGAUGCGUAGCCGACCUGAGAGGGUGAUCGGCCACACUGGAACUGAGACACGGUCCAGACUCCUACGGGAGGCAGCAGUAGGGAAUCUUCCGCAAUGGGCGAAAGCAUGACGGAGCAACGCCGCGUGAGUGAUGAAGGUCUUCGGAUCGUAAAACUCUGUUAUUAGGGAAGAUCAACUGUGUAAGUAACUAUGCACGUCUUGACGGUACCUAAUCAGAAAGCCACGGCUAACUACGUGCCAGCAGCUCGCGGUAAUACGUAGGUGGCAAGCGUUAUCCGGAAUUAUUGGGCGUAAAGCGCGCGUAGGCGGUUUUUUAAGUCUGAUGUGAAAGCCCACGGCUCAACCGUGGAGGGUCAUUGGAAACUGGAAAACUUGAGUGCAGAAGAGGAAAGUGGAAUUCCAUGUGUAGCGGUGAAAUGCGCAGAGAUAUGGAGGAACACCAGUGGCGAAGGCGACUUUCUGGUCUGUAA